rnacentral:rRNA from 1 species
UGCAAUUAUCCCAAUAGCGGAGGAAAAGAAACCAACUGGGAUUACCUUAGUAACGGCGAGUGAAGCGGUAAAAGCUCAAAUUUGAAAUCUGGUACUUUCAGUGCCCGAGUUGUAAUUUGUAGAAUUUGUCUUUGAUUAGGUCCUUGUCUAUGUUCCUUGGAACAGGACGUCAUAGAGGGUGAGAAUCCCGUUUGGCGAGGAUACCUUUUCUCUGUAAGACUUUUUCGAAGAGUCGAGUUGUUUGGGAAUGCAGCUCAAAGUGGGUGGUAAAUUCCAUCUAAAGCUAAAUAUUGGCGAGAGACCGAUAGCGAACAAGUACAGUGAUGGAAAGAUGAAAAGAACUUUGAAAAGAGAGUGAAAAAGUACGUGAAAUUGUUGAAAGGGAAGGGCAUUUGAUCAGACAUGGUGUUUUUUGCAUGCACUCGCCUCUCGUGGGCUUGGGCCUCUCAAAAAUUUCACUGGGCCAACAUCAAUUCUGGCAGCAGGAUAAAUCAUUAAGAAUGUAGCUACUUCGGUAGUGUUAUAGCUUUUUGGAAUACUGUUAGCCGGGAUUGAGGACUGCGCUUCGGCAAGGAUGUUGGCAUAAUGGUUAAAUGCCGCCCGUCUU